GACGAACGCUGGCGGCGUGCCUAAUACAUGCAAGUCGAACGCAGUGGGGACGGGUGAGUAACACGUGGGUAACCUCCCAUCAGAGGGGAUAACACUUGGAAACAGGUGCUAAACCGAUACUGAUGGAUGGACCCGCGGUGCAUUAGCUAGUUGGUGAGGUAACGGCUCACCAAGGCCACGAUGAAUAGCCGACCGGAGUGGGUGAUCGGCCAAACUGGGACUGAGUCACGGCCCAGACGCCGACGGGAGGCAGCAGGAGGGAAUCGUCGGCAAUGGACGAAAGGCGGACCGAGCAACGCCGCGGGAGUGAAGAAGGUUUUCGGAUCGUAAAACUCUGUUGUUAGAGAAGCGGUAUCUACCCAGAAAGCCACUGCUAACGACGUGCCAGCAGCCGCGGUAAUUC
rnacentral:rRNA from 1 species